rnacentral:misc_RNA from 1 species
AAGUCGUAACAAGGUUUCCGUAGGUGAACCUGCGGAAGGAUCAUUAUCGAAUUCUCUUGCAACGCUUGUGCAUUCACUUGCACGCCGCGCAAAGUCUUCAUUCCACACCUGUGCACCCCGCGAUUCAUUUCGCUAUUUUUACACCUUUUUGUAUGGCCUUGAAUUUAAUUCGGUCGCUCUGUGAUGGAGCGGUCGCUAAAAACAAAUACAACUUUCAGCAACGGAUCUCUUGGCUCUC